rnacentral:rRNA from 1 species
ACUCAAAUGAAUAGACGGGGGCCCGCACAAGCAGCGGAGCGUGUGGUUUAAUUCGAUGCUACACGAAGAACCUUACCAGGGUUUGACAUGCGCGUGGUAGGGAAGGGAAACCGGACCGACCCUUCGGGGAGCGCGCACAGGUGCUGCAUGGCUGUCGUCAGCUCGUGUCGUGAGAUGUUCGGUUAAGUCCGCUAACGAGCGCAACCCUCGCCGCGUGUUACAAGUGUCACGCGGGACUGCCAGUCUUAAGCUGGAGGAAGGUGGGGAUGACGUCAAGUCAGCAUGGCCUUUAUGUCCUGGGCUACACACACGCUACAAUGGCCGGUACAAUGGGUCGCGAAGCCGCGAGGUGGAGCCAAUCCACAAAGCCGGUCUCAGUUCAGAUUGCAGGCUGCAACCCGCCUGCAUGAAGAUGGAGUUGCUAGUAACCGCAGGUCAGCACCACUGCGGUGAAUACGUUCCCGGGCCUUGUACACACCGCCCGU